CAUGUAGGCGGCCUAUUAAGUCGGGCGUGAAAAUGCGGGGGCUCAACCCCCGUAUGGCGCCCGAUACUGGUGGGCUUGAGUGCAGGAGAGGAAAGGGGAAUUCCCAGUGUAGCGGUGAAAUGCGUAGAUAUUGGGAGGAACACCAGUGGCGAAGGCGCCUUUCUGGACUGUGUCUGACGCUGAGAUGCGAAAGCCAGGGGAGCGAACG
rnacentral:rRNA from 1 species